AUCUGGCUGGCUCAUUUGGUAGAGCCUGUGACUCUUGAUCACAGGGUUGUGAGUUUAAGCCCCAUGUUGGAUA
rnacentral:tRNA from 1 species